GGGCGAUUAACUCAGGGGUAGAGUGCCACCUUCACACGGUGGAAGUCAGUGGUUCGAACCCACUAUCGCCCACCA
rnacentral:tRNA from 1 species